rnacentral:rRNA from 1 species
GAGCAAACAGGAUUAGAUACCCUGGUAGUCCACGCCGUAAACGAUGAGUGCUAAGUGUUAGGGGGUUCCGCCCUUUAGUGCUGCAGCUAACGCAUUAAGCACUCCGCUGGGGAGUACGACCGCAAGGUUGAAACUCAAAGGAAUUGACGGGGGCCCGCACAAGCGGUGGAGCAUGUGGUUUAAUUCGAAGCAACGCGAAGAACCUUACCAGGUCUUGACAUCCUUUGACAACUCUAGAGAUAGAGCUUUCCCUUCGGGGACAAAGUGACAGGUGGUGCAUGGUUGUCGUCAGCUCGUGUCGUGAGAUGUUGGGUUAAGUCCCGCAACGAGCGCAACCCUUAUUGUUAGUUGCCAUCAUUCAGUUGGGCACUCUAGCGAAACUGCCGGUGACAAACCGGAGGAAGGUGGGGAUGACGUCAAAUCAUCAUGCCCCUUAUGACCUGGGCUACACACGUGCUACAAUGGACAGUACAAUGAGCAGCGACACGGCGACGUGAAGCGAAUCUCAUAAAGCUGUUCUCAGUUCGGAUUGUAGGCUGCAACUCGCCUACAUGAAGCCGGAAUCGCUAGUAAUCGCGGAUCAGCACGCCGCGGUGAAUACGUUCCCGGGCCUUGUACACACCGCCCGUCACACCACGAAAGUUUGUAACACCCAAAGUCGGUGAGGUAACCUUCGGGAGCCAGCCGCCUAAGGUGGGAUAGAUGAUUGGGGUGAAGUCGUAACAAGGUAACCA